GCCUGGGUGGCUCAGUCAGUUAAGCAUCUGACUUCGGCUCAGGUCAGGAUCUCACAGUUUGUGAGUUCGAGCCCCACAUCAGGCU
rnacentral:tRNA from 1 species